GCUGAAACUCUAAUACUUUGACCACCUGUUGCAAAUAACUGACUCAUUUGAAAAGACCCUGAUGCUGGGAAAGAUUGAAGGCAAGAGGAGUAGUGGAUGACAGGACGAGAUGCUUUGAUGGCAUCAGCAAUUUGAUGGACAUGAGUUUGAGCAAGCUCCUGGAGUUGGUGAUGGACAGGGAAGCCUGGUGUGCUGCAGUCCAUGGGGUUGCAAAAAGCUGGACAUGUCUCAGUGACUGAAC